rnacentral:rRNA from 1 species
GUCUACAGCCAUCCCACCCCAAACAUACCAGAUCUCGUCUGAUCUUGGAAACUGAGAAGCUUAGUCCUUAGAUGGGAGAAGUCUGUAAGGAGCCAUAGAAG